UGGAUAAGGCAUGCAAGUCAAGGGGGCUCCGCAAGGAGCAACCGGCAGACGAGAUAGUAAUAAUUAAGUAUGUACCCCAGAGUCGAGCAUAGCUACCCGAAAGGGUAGGUAAAUCUCGAUGGUCUCGUAAGAGUAAAAAUUUAUUGCUCUGGGAACAGCUUGAUCAGUAUCAGCUAGUUGGUGAGGUAAUGGCUCACCAAGGCUAUGACGCUUAGGGGACCUGAGAGGGUGACCCCCAUCGAUGGGACUGAGACACGGCCCAUACACCUACGGGUGGCUGCAGUCGAGAAUCUUCCGCAAUGGACGAAAGUCUGACGGAGCGACGCCGCGUGGAGGAUGACGUGCUUCGGCAUGUAAACUCC
rnacentral:rRNA from 1 species